AUCGAUUAUAAGGUAGAAAGUAUUGCCAGGAAUAUAAAAGGCCUGAAAAAAUGUUUAAUUUCUCCGUAGUUUGGAUUAUAUUGAUGUAAUCAAUUUGACUUCAAAUGUAGGUUGUUACUGAUUGCGAAUUUCCAUAUCCAUAACUCUGUUAAAUCCAACAAUUGAAGGUUCUAUCAGCUCAAUCAAAUCACUUACAUCUGUGUUCUCUUCCUAUUAUACCAAGGUACUAUUUUGACUCUUAAAUUGGGUUUUAAUUUUGAACUCACCAUCUUUCCUUUCCUUAACUUUUUGUAAUAUAUGUUGACUUGCCUUUGUUUUCCUUAUAUUUACUUCAUUGAAAUCUCAAUUCAUGGUCUCAAUUAUAUUUCAGUUUAAACUUCAAUUUUAAACUCAUCAUCUUUCUUUUCCUUAAUUUUUUGUAAUCUGUGUUGGCUUUGCUUGGCUUGACUUAUCUUUAAUUGUAAUCUGUGUUUAAGUACCAUAAACACUUAAAUUCAGUAUUCGAAACGUUCAAAUUAUGUGUCUAAGUUUUACAAGCCAGAGAGAGCAGUUCAGUCAGCCAGUCAUGAACAACUUGAUUUGUUCAAAUUAAAUAUAUUUCUAGGAAUAUGAAUUGCCUGAAUAUUUUUUAAUUUCUCUGUUCUUUUUAUGAAGAUGAUGUAAUCAAUUUGUGCUUAAUGUCCUCUGACAAUGUUAUGACUGAGGUUAAAUCAGUUUUUAUAAAUAAUAUAACCAUGAAAUUCAUAAAUGACAGGUCUUUGUAUGUUGAAUAUGAAGUUCCGCACUAAUAGUUGAACUUUAUAUUAUGAUUGAGGUUAAAUCAGUUUAAGCUUACCUUUGCAACAGAUUAUCAUUUACUUGUGUAGUUACCUCGAAUAUACGUGACGACGGAAUCCCAAAUUACAAAGUAAGUGUUGAAUUGUAAUAUCAUGGUAAUCAAUCGUAGUUUAAUUUCAUACAACUGUGAAUUAGUCCACCAAAAUCGAGCUUUAGAAUUUACUUACCAGAUCCUGAUGAAAAUGCCCUUUUGGCAUGGUUUUCGGUAAUUAUACUUAUUCUAAAAUCUUAAUUAAUUAAUGACGGAAACCCAUCCCUCUUUCCUACCAAAAACCCUUUCUUCUUCCACGAAAUGCUCUCCAUUAUUUCCAUUUAUUCAUCUGCAGAAUUUGCAUACAUCAAUCUCCUCCCUUUCCUUAAAUCUAUAAAAAAAUUCCUUCUUUGCAACAUUUUCAUCAAUCUAAACUCUUAAAAAUAGGUAACACUUUGUUGAAGAGGGAUGGUGUUUUUAAUCAUGUUUUCAUUUCGAUUCUUUUGAGUCCAAUUUAAAUGACAACCUUCUAUGUCUAUAAUUGAUUGGAAUCCUAUUACUGUAGCUCGAUUGAAAAAUUGAAAAAGAUAAGCAACCAAGAUCGGCAAUAAACACUACUACGUGUGGUGAGCUUAUGCCCAUUUUUUAAAAAAAACUGUUUGGUGAGUUUAUGCGUAUAUUUGAACACAAACUACUAUUCUCCAUGACUGCAUUCAUGACUAAGCAUUCCACUCACUAUCAUUGUUGAUUGAGUUUAGACUACAUGGGCACAUGUUGAUUCAAGUACCUUCUUAUGUUUGUGGUACCUGACAAUAUGCACAAUCAUUUUCAUCCUACUUGAGUACUUAGACAUCACAUGGUCUCCUACCCAUUUUUAUGUAGUGAAUUAUUUUUAGCUACUAUUAGUUUCAAAGAACACAAAUCUUUAACAAUUCUUCUUAUGGUUUCUGGUGGUGUUGAGAGCGUUAAUUGUUUUGUUAUUUUGAUUAGAGGUAGGAUUAUAUUAACAUUGUAAAAGACUUAAACAAGCAUAUACACUGUACGUAAUGUACCAUCGGGUUGGACCAAGCCAUACAGACAUCAUCUGUGGUAUAUAGAGAUGUGCAUAUAUUAACAGGGAAAAACAAAUUAGUCCAAGCUGAAAUGAAUUGUCAACUUGUGGGCUUGAUAUGUCCGCUUGCAAUAAAAUUAGAAUGAUUCGUUUGAUUUUCAAUUCCAAAAAAAAAAAAAAAAAAGGAAAUAGCUUACAUUAUAAGCGAAAAUUGAAUUUGUUGUGGGUAACAUCUGAAAGUUCUAACAAUCUGUAUGCUAUGUACAGUUUUCUCGGUAGAACAGCAUGGGGAAAAGAAAAAGAAACUCUAUGUCGACGGACUCUAUUAUUCGCAAUUGUAUUGGUGAAGCACCUUUGG
rnacentral:lncRNA from 1 species